GGAAAUUCAACGUUGUAUAUGCGCACGCAUCAGGAAACGUGUCUUUAUUUUAUACUGUAUAUUGAGAAUUUCGGGAGGAAGAUUUGCCUUUUGAUAUUAGGAAAGUUCUUUAAAAAGUCUAAGAUAGUGCUGAUUGCUAAUAGCGGCCAUGGACCUUUUUUCGUCGAUGUGUGGUUGUCGUGCUGUGUGUCAUCGCAGUCAACGCUCAAAGACAAUGUCCAAAGGGGAAUAACGAGAUCCCCGGGGGAGAGAUCGCAUUGCCCUUCCCUCCAGACAAGUGCGUUGUGCCCACGGAGGACUUUCGCAAAUACGCAAGUUCCUUUCGCUGUAGACAGGGUAUACGUCUCGGCCUACACGAUCAACACGCAUGAGACUCAUUCCGGUAUUUCUACCCAGCGUCGGUUUACAGCUCUACCAGAUGGCAAUAUUGUGGGGACUUUAUCAUAUGCCGAGACCGGAACCUCGAGAUUUCAGAGUUUUGAGUGGUUCUCCAGCAGAUUACUUAAUAACGUACUAAUGUUGGGAUGUAACACAAAUCAUGUGUGGAAAGUGUCCAGACAUCACUGCUGUCAUCUAUAUCCGAGACCGCCGUGAAGACACGGACGGAGACGGGAUUCCAGACGGAGUUCCGGAUUUCACAGGCGUUCCGUGGUGUGACAUUAACAAGUUUUCCAAACACUGUCUCGGCGAGGAAUUCGAAAACGACGAUCUCCUUGGAUGGGAAUGGAAGGGUAGAUCACAGCCAGAAAACUGCACCUUGCUGACACCUUAGCAGUAUUGCGGGAACCAUGGUUAUUUCUGAAAAAAAGAGAAAUAAAUCAUGUGUCAUUUAUAAACUUUGCUUAAAAUGAUAAUUAUGUUUGGCAUAUAAUUAAAAUGAAAUAGAAAACAUAAAUUGAAUCACACAAUCUUGCUGAAAAAAGUCUGGUUACAAUAAAAUUAUUUUCUUUG